rnacentral:rRNA from 1 species
AUACGUAGGGAGCGAGCGUUGUCCGGAAUUACUGGGUGUAAAGGGUGCGUAGGCGGGUAUGCAAGUCAUAUGUGGAAUACCGGGGCUCAACUCCGGAACUGCAUAAGAAACUGUAUAUCUUGAGUGCAGAAGAGGUAAGCGGAAUUCCUAGUGUAGCGGUGAAAUGCGUAGAUAUUAGGAGGAACACCAGUGGCGAAGGCGGCUUACUGGGCUGUAACUGACGCUGAGGCACGAAAGCGUGGGGAGCAAACAGGAUUAGAUACCCUGGUAGUCCACGCUGUAAACGAUGGAUACUAGGUGUAGGGGGUAUCGACCCCUCCUGUGCCGGAGUUAACACAAUAAGUAUCCCACCUGGGGAGUACGACCGCAAGGUUGAAACUUAAAGGAAUUGACGGGG